GUGGGUAUAGCUCAGUUGGUUAGAGCGCCAGAUUGUGGCUCUGGAGGGUCGUGAGUUCGAAUCCCUGUGCGCUCACCA
rnacentral:tRNA from 1 species